GAUGAACGCUGGCGGCGUGCCUAAUACAUGCAAGUCGAGCGAACAGACGAGGAGCUUGCUCCUCUGACGUUAGCGGCAGACGGGUGAGUAACACGUGGAUAACCUACCUAUAAGACUGGGAUAACUUCGGGAAACCGGAGCUAAUACCGGAUAAUAUAUUGAACCGCAUGGUUCGAUAGUGAAAGACGGUUUUGCUGUCACUUAUAGAUGGAUCCGCGCCGCAUUAGCUAGUUGGUAAGGUAACGGCUUACCAAGGCAACGAUGCGUAGCCGACCUGAGAGGGUGAUCGGCCACACUGGAACUGAGACACGGUCCAGACUCCUACGGGAGGCAGCAGUAGGGAAUCUUCCGCAAUGGGCGAAAGCCUGACGGAGCAACGCCGCGUGAGUGAUGAAGGUCUUCGGAUCGUAAAACUCUGUUAUUAGGGAAGAACAAAUGUGUAAGUAACUAUGCACGUCUUGACGGUACCUAAUCAGAAAGCCACGGCUAACUACGUG
rnacentral:rRNA from 1 species